CAGAUAUGCAAACAAAAAGUUACAUACUUAGGGUUUACCUUAUCAAAAGGCCAAAGGGAACUGCUGCCAGACUGAGAGAAAGCUAGUGUGUCUGAGCCCUCCCACCGCUUGGCCACAGCUACAAGGAUUCUUGGGCAGGGCUGGUUUCUGUCGGAUCUGAAUUCCUAGCUAUGGCCUCAGAGUAAAGCCCUUCUAUGAGGCUCUAACCGGGCUAGACCAGGAGCCACGAGAAUGGACAAAGGAAUGUCAGGAGGCCUUUGAUACCAUCAAGACAAACAAUUUCAGCCCCAGCCUUGGGACUUCCUAACUUGGACAAGCCCUUCAACCUAUAUGCAUGUGAAAGGCAGGGAAUAAGCUUGGGGGUUUUAACUCAAAAACUGGGCAUGACUCCCCAGCCAAUGGCUUAUUUUUCCAAGCAAUUGGAUGAGACCAGUAAAGACUGGCCCCACAGCCUCAGGGCAGUGGCUGCUACUUGUGACAUCCUGCAGGAAGCUGAAAAAUUCACCCUGGGCCAACCCACCAUGGUAUGUGUGCCACAUCAAGUACUCACAUUAUUAGAACAAAAAGGAGGACACUGGCUCACUGCAGGAAGGAUGGGCAAAUGCCAAGCCAUCCUUUUGGACAAUCCAAAUGUACAGAUGCAAGUAUCCUAAACCCAGCCACCUUACUCCCUAACAAGACAUCAGAAGCCUUAGGACACAACUGCCUGCAAGUUAUCGAGACAGUGUAUUCUAGCUGCCUGAUUUCUUGGACUGUUUGCUGGAGGAAACAAGACUUGCAAGUCUUCACAGAUGGCAGCAGCUUCAUGGGUCAAGGAACAGGCUGACCGCAGGCAGGAAACACACCUACAAGGUAUCCAUCCCAGCUGACAGAAGAAUGGAACAAUGUGAUGCCGGGAGCCCGUCAUGCCUGGAGACCAACAUCCCCGGAUCCCCUCCUCACUGCCCAUUUUCCCUAUAUGACUGCCUCAAGAUUCUGUAAUCCUUGAAGAUAGGUUUUUGAGGCAUUAGUCACCCACCUUCUGACUAGCCAGCUAAUCUAACUACACUUCCUUUCUCCAUCCCUUACUCAUUGUGAUUAGUUGGCUCAGAUGACAGUGAGCAGAGAGAGCCCAUUGCUCAGUACCAUGGGUAAACACCAAGAAGCUUGAUUGCUGGGUCAUAUGGUCAGAGUAUGUUUAGUUUUGUAAGAAACCUCCAAACUGUCUUCCAAAAUGGCUGCAUCAUUUUUCACUCCUACCAGCAAUGUACGAGAAUUCUUACUCUUAUUCUUCUUCAAGCUCAACCUGCUUGCCAGCAUUUGGUAUUGUGCACGUUCUGGAUUUUCUCCAUUCUAAUAGAUAUGUAGUAGUUUCUCACUAAUGUCUUAACCUGCGUUUUCCUGAUGACAUAUGAUAUGGAGCAUCUUUUUGUUUAUCAUGGUUACUUUUAUCAUUCCUAUUAUUAUUAUUUUCACAUCUUUCAGAUCUUUCAUAUUUAAUAGUUUUUAAAAUUAUUUUAUCUGGGCUGGCCCAGUGGCACAGUGGUUAAGUGUGCAUGUUCUGCUUCGGCGGCCAGGGGUUUGCCCGUUUGGAUCCCAGGUGCGGAUCUGGCACUGCUUGGCAAGCCAUGCUGUGGGAGGCGUCCCACAUAUAAAGUAAAGGAAGAUGGGCAAGGAUGUUAGCCAGUUUUCCUCAGCAAAAAAGAGUAGGAUUGGCAGCAGUUAGCUCAGGGCAAAUCUUCCUCAAGAAAAAAAAAUAAAAUAAAAUAAAAUUAUUUUAUUGAGGUCCUAUUGGUUUAUAACAUUGUAUAAAUUUCAGGUGUACAUUAUUACAUAUCAGUUCUUGUAUAGACUGCAUUUUGUUCACCCCCAAUAAUCUAGUUUUUAUCUAUCACCGUACAUAUGUGCGCCUUUACCCCUUUCGCUCUUCCUACACCCCCUUCCCCUCUGGUAACCAGUAAUCUGUUCUCUUUGUUCAUGCGUUUAUCUUCCACAUAUGAGUGAAAUCACACGGUGUUUGUCAUUCUCUGUCUCGCAUAUUUCACUUAAUGUAAUACCCUCAAGGUCCAUCCAUGUUGUGGCAAAUGGCAUGAUUUUGUCUUUUUUUGUGGCUGAGUACUAUCCCAUUGUGC
ensembl:lncRNA